rnacentral:rRNA from 2 species
CNGNUUUAUUGGGCGUAAGCGAGCGCAGGCGGUUUUUUAAGUCUGAUGUGAAAGCCUUCGGCUCAACCGAAGAAGUGCAUCGGAAACUGGGAAACUUGAGUGCAGAAGAGGACAGUGGAACUCCAUGUGUAGCGGUGAAAUGCGUAGAUAUAUGGAAGAACACCAGUGGCGAAGGCGGCUGUCUGGUCUGUAACUGACGCUGAGGCUCGAAAGUAUGGGUAGCAAACAGGAUUAGAUACCCUGGUAGUCCAUACCGUAAACGAUGAAUGCUAAGUGUUGGAGGGUUUCCGCCCUUCAGUGCUGCAGCUAACGCAUUAAGCAUUCCGCCUGGGGAGUACGGCCGCAAGGCUGAAACUCAAAGGAAUUGACGGGGGCCCGCACAAGCGGUGGAGCAUGUGGUUUAAUUCGAAGCUACGCGAAGAACCUUACCAGGUCUUGACAUACUAUGCAAAUCUAAGAGAUUAGACGUUCCCUUCGGGGACAUGGAUACAGGUGGUGCAUGGUUGUCGUCAGCUCGUGUCGUGAGAUGUUGGGUUAAGUCCCGCAACGAGCGCAACCCUUAUUAUCAGUUGCCAGCAUUAAGUUGGGCACUCUGGUGAGACUGCCGGUGACAAACCGGAGGAAGGUGGGGAUGACGUCAAAUCAUCAUGCCCCUUAUGACCUGGGCUACACACGUGCUACAAUGGAUGGUACAACGAGUUGCGAACUCGCGAGAGUAAGCUAAUCUCUUAAAGCCAUUCUCAGUUCGGAUUGUAGGCUGCAACUCGCCUACAUGAAGUCGGAAUCGCUAGUAAUCGCGGAUCAGCAUGCCGCGGUGAAUACGUUCCCGGGCCUUGUACACACCGCCCGUCACACCAUGAGAGUUUGUAACACCCAAAGUCGGUGGGGUAACCUUUUAGGAACCAGCCGCCUAAGGUGGGACAGAUGAUUAGGGUGAA